CAGAAAAAGGGUAUCAGUGGAGCUCACACACUCGCUCUUCAAACAUGACCCUGCUGUUUGGGAAAUGGCCCAUAGUGCUGUUCCCUUGGAGCCUCCAUACCUAGCUGAUGAGUUAGAUGGCUCUUACCCUGCCUAUGGUUAUGCUGACCUUCCUCUGGACACCCUACCACUAGACCCUGAUCUCCACGACCCCUAUAUAGCUGACAUAACCUACGACCCAAGACAGGCCUACCCUGAACCACUUUAACAGGUAAAUACAGGCAAAAAACAAUUUUUUUGGUAAAUAUUUAGUUUAAUUUAAGUUUUUAAGAGGGACUCUGGAGUUCCAGUACCGGACCAGUGGAUUUUCACAAAAUAGAUAAACAUU
rnacentral:lncRNA from 1 species